UUCUAGUGGCGGACGGGUGAGUAACGCGUGGGUAACCUGCCUUAUACUGGGGGAUAACAGCCAGAAAUGACUGCUAAUACCGCAUAAGCGCACAGAACCGCAUGGUUCGGUGUGAAAAACUCCGGUGGUAUAAGAUGGACCCGCGUUGGAUUAGCUAGUUGGCAGGGCAGCGGCCUACCAAGGCGACGAUCCAUAGCCGGCCUGAGAGGGUGAACGGCCACAUUGGGACUGAGACACGGCCCAGACUCC
rnacentral:rRNA from 1 species